rnacentral:rRNA from 2 species
AAUAAGCGGAGGAAAAGAAACUAACAAGGAUUCCCCUAGUAACGGCGAGUGAAGCGGGAAGAGCUCAAAUUUGAAAUCUGGUAGCCUUCGGUUGCCCGAGUUGUAAUCUAGAGAAGUGUUUUCCGUGCCGGCCCAUGUACAAGUCCCUUGGAACAGGGCGUCAUAGAGGGUGAGAAUCCCGUCCUUGACAUGGACCCCCGGUGCUUUGUGAUACACUUUCAACGAGUCGAGUUGUUUGGGAAUGCAGCUCAAAAUGGGUGGUGAAUUCCAUCUAAAGCUAAAUAUUGGCGAGAGACCGAUAGCGAACAAGUACCGUGAGGGAAAGAUGAAAAGCACUUUGGAAAGAGAGUUAAACAGUACGUGAAAUUGUUGAAAGGGAAACGAUUGAAGUCAGUCAUGCUCUUGGGACUUACCUCCCUUGAGUGGGGUCAACAUCAGUUUUGAUCGAUGGAUAAAGGCACGGGGAAGGUAGCACUCUCGGGUGAACUUAUAGCCUCGCGUCAUAUACAUUGAUUGGGACUGAGGAACGCAGCAUGCCUUAUGGCCGGGAUUCGUCCACGUACAUGCUUAGGAUGUUGACAUAAUGGCUUUAAACGACCCGUCUUGAAA